CCUACGGGUGGCAGCAGUGGGGAAUAUUGCACAAUGGGCGAAAGCCUGAUGCAGCAACGCCGCGUGAGAGAUGAAGGCCUUCGGGUCGUAAAGCUCUGUCCUCAAGGAAGAGAAUGACGGUACUUGAGGAGGAAGCCCCGGCUAACUACGUGCCAGCAGCCGCGGUAAUACGUAGGGGGCUAGCGUUAUCCGGAAUUACUGGGCGUAAAGGGUGCGUAGGUGGUUUCUUAAGUCAGAGGUAAAAGGCUACGGCUCAACCGUAGUAAGCCUUUGAAACUGGGGAACUUGAGUGCAGGAGAGGAGAGUGGAAUUCCUAGUGUAGCGGUGAAAUGCGUAGAUAUUAGGAGGAACACCAGUGGCGAAGGCGACUUUCUGGACUGUACCUGACGCUGAGGCGCGAAAGCGUGGGUAGCGAACGGGAUUAGAUACCCUGGUAGUC
rnacentral:rRNA from 1 species